rnacentral:rRNA from 1 species
CCCUUAGAUGUCCUGGGCCGCACGCGCGCUACACUGAACGGAUCAGCGCGUUUUCCCUUCCCGAGAGGGACGGGUAACCUGCUGAACCCCGUUCGUGGUAGGGAUCGGGGCUUGCAAUUAUUCCCCGUGAACCAGGAAUGCCCAGUAAGUGCAAGUCAUAAGCUUGCGUUGAUUACGUCCCUGCCCUUUGUACACACCGCCCGUCGCUACUACCGAUUGAAUGGUCCGGUGAAGCCUCCGGAUUGGCGCGCACCUCGGUGCCGCCGAGAAGUUGGCUAAACCUUACCAUUUAGAGGAAGGUGAAGUCGUAACA